rnacentral:lncRNA from 1 species
UCGGGUUUCUAAAAGCUAUUUCAACCCCCCUCCCAGUUACUGCCACCCUCUCCCAGGUCUAGAGAGGGGUACCCACGGUGGAGGGAGGUGGGAGGCCGAGACGGCCCCGGGGGUCGGCGGAGACCCAGCGGGAGCAGGGGGAAAUCGGAAGAGCUGGGGGCAUGGAGCGGGCGAGUUUGGAGCGGAAUGAGCCGGGAGCCCUACGUUGUGGAAGGAAGACAACAGUAUAGGACCAUCAGCAGGACCGGACAGAGAGGGGCACGUAAGCAGUAAUUACUGGAUGGCAUAGUAAUUCUACUAAAAAUUAAAAUGCCACUUAUUGGAAUGGUGUGUGAACACUCUAAAGCAACCCGGGAAGAAGACAGCAGUCAAGAAGACCAAGGAAGGAAAUGGAGGAGGGAUGACCCCACCAUUACAGGCAGGGAAGGACUGACCAAAGAGACAGAAAUGUAGUCUAGGAAAUGUGUCAUCUUAGAAAGGAACGGGAAGGGGCUGGAGAGGUGGCUCAGAAGUAAAGAGCAGUGGAUGCUCUUUCAGGGGACCUGAGUUGGCCUCCUAAUGUCUUCAGGUACCUCCUAACUGCAUGUAACUCCAGCUCCGGGAGAUUCUGGAUUCUUCUGGUCUCCACGGCACUGCGUUCACGCGCACGCGCGCGCGCACACACACACACACACACACACACACACAAAUUAAUCUUAGAAAAGCAUAGGAAGCCUGAUUUUUUGUUUGUUUGUUUGUUUUGGGGUUUUUUUUUUGUUUGUUUUGUUUUGUUUUUGAGACAGGGUUUCUCUGUAUAGCCCUGGCUGUCCUGGAACUUGUAGACCAGGCUGGCCUUGAACUCAGAAAUCCGCCUGCCUCUGACUCCCGAGUGCUGAGAUUAAAGGUGUGCACCACCACACCCGACAAGGAAGCCUGUUUUAAGAAGUGAUUCCAUGGAGGAGUUCUGCGGCGGCUCAGGGCUUGACUAAACAGUGGACCUCAGUAGACAAGAGAGGCUAAACCAGGCUGCAGGUGACAGGAAGAAUUGAAUAAACUGAAAGCAAAGGGCAGCCUUCUAAUUACGCUUCGUGGCUAUGUGGACAACCUGGAGAAGUCUGGAAACAAAGAAGCCAGAAGCCCGAAGCCAGCAGUAGAGCUCUGACUGGCUUGUAUGCCUAGAAAGGAAGGGCUCUUCUUUCGCCUCACGGGCACAAAUGGGACCCACGAGCGCCGAUUUCAGACUAUUCUGAUCCCUUCAAAAAGAAAGUUAGGAGUCCAGGCUACUUCACUUUGGUGAUAGUAAUCAAACCCUAAUCACGGUGCAGCCACAAGUCACAGAGACCGAAAUAGCAGACUUAUGACAGACAAGGAUGGAGACAGCUAAGGAACUGGCUAUUAAUCACCAGUCCCUCUGCUCACAGCCCAUUGGACCCGAGGGUGAAGGAUGAGGAGGAUGGAAGAAAAUGGGAGUGGCGCUUGCUGCAAAGGGUCUCGAAGGGUCUCAGCACCUGCGAACUGGCUCCAAUCCAAACUCCACUAUUCAUGGUCAAGUUCACAUAGGGCUUGGGGUUCUAACAAGAUGUGACUAAACUUACGUUUUCUAUCUUAUUGAUUGUUGUUGAUGCACGUCUGGUGGUACAUGCUUGAAGAACACAGACACCCUGAGAAGAAAGACAUAGCUCCCCAGAUUCCAGCACGCACUUCUCUGUGAGCUACCACUGUAGCUGAAGAUACAGGGCUCAGGAGGAACACUUGGCCUUCGCUCUGAACUUCAGGCCCACGUAACCAUCAGCCGACAUGACACUGCAAAGGCACCUUAGCUCUGCUGUCCCAGAUGGCCAAGCCAACCUUAUUCCAGAAGCUACUUCUCCUGAUGUAAGAACCAGACACAAAGGACAACCUCUGCCUCACCCUCCUUCACACAACACUGAGUCUGUCAUCUUUGAAGCAUUUCUCAAGCCAUGUUUAUUCCCCUGGCCUACGUGGAACACAGCCAGGGUACGGAACACAACCUCAGCACCGGUCUGCUUUCCUCUCCCCAUUUCUGGUCUUUCUCAGAUGCCCAGAGCUCCUCUGUCCCAAUGACUGCUUAUCAAAGAUCUCACUGUGUCCCCACCCAAGGGGUCUUUGGCCACCCUGUGAAGUCCUAGUGGCCUGGAGUUUGCCCCCUUUCCCAGACACCUUAGGGUUCCUGCUGCAGCUCCAGAACUGGGGGAGCAGGGUUGGGGGUGAGUGUGUGUGUGUGUGUGUGUGUGUGUGUGUGUGUGUGUGUUGACUCACCCUGCAGUAUUCUCUCCAUCUGCACAGGUCCCCAGUCUCUGAGACUGAAUCACCCCUCUUUCACUAUGCCUCUGCACAGCUGCCCUUGUGCUCCCUCUCCUUGCCCCGCCUCUUUUUAAGACAGUAUUAUGCAGCCCUGGCUGUCCUGGAACUUAUGUAAACCAGCCUGGCCUUGAACUUGCAGAGAUCCACCUGCCUUUGCCUCUGCCCCUGCCCCUGCCCCUGCCGCCCCUGCCCCUGCCUUUCUGCCUCUGCCUCUGCCUCUCUGCCUUUCUGCCUCUGCCUCUCUGCCUCUGCCUCUCUGCCUCUGCCUCUCAAGUGUCAGGGAUUAAUGCCUGCCACCUCCCCAGUCCCACCCCUCUCCAUCUACCAUGUGGGUUCCACGGGGCAAACCCAAGUCAUCAGGCUUGUUGGCCAGUGCCUUUAUCCACUGAGCCAAGCCGCUUGGUGUGUCUUUGAUGGUGAUUAUUUACAGGAGCUAUUCAGCAAGGUUAAAUGCUGGCAACCCAAUGAGGGGGUCUCUUGAUCCAAAACUGAGAAGUUGAGGCACUAUUUCAGAAUGACCAAAGACAGUAGAAGAAUCUAGAUAUGUCGAUGAUGAGAACAAUGAUAACUCCAAAAGCUGAGGGAAAUUAACUCAAAAUCUUCCAGCUUCCUUUUCCUUACCUAGUUUGGCGGACUCCAACUCUUGGGAUAGCUUUUUUUCUGGCCCCAAACUCACCUGAUUCGUCUGUCCACUGCCACACUGAAGAAUGAACAGCUGUCUCAGAGAGCUUGGCUCCAGAGCUCUGCAAAAAGAGGACACCUUGCCUUGAGCUGUGUUUCCAGAAUGUAUUGCAGCCCCCAGAGUCAUGUACUGUGACCAGGUGAGGACAUGCAUCUUCUGUUCUCCUGCACCCAGGGCCCCAGCAACCAAGGAUCUGGGGACAUGGCGGGUGUUUGGCAGGUUCGCACUCUGAAAAUAUUUGAUGAGACUCAGUAUAUGCUAAAUAAACACUGGAUCAAGUUCUUGGUCUCUCCUUUGGGGAAUUUACAGUCUAUCCUACAGAGAAGAUUGAAA